rnacentral:rRNA from 1 species
UACGUAGGGGGCAAGCGUUGUCCGGAAUCAUUGGGCGUAAAGCGCGUGUAGGCGGUUCAGUAAGUCUGCUGUGAAAGUCCAGGGCUCAACCCUGGAAUGCCGGUGGAUACUGCUGGGCUAGAGUACGGAAGAGGCGAGUGGAAUUCCCGGUGUAGCGGUGAAAUGCGCAGAUAUCGGGAGGAACACCUAUUGCGAAGGCAGCUCGCUGGGACGUUACUGACGCUGAGACGCGAAAGCGUGGGGAGCAAACAGG